rnacentral:rRNA from 1 species
UACGGAGGGUGCAAGCGUUAUCCGGAUUCACUGGGUUUAAAGGGUGCGUAGGUGGGCAGGUAAGUCAGUGGUGAAAUCUCCGGGCUUAACCCGGAAACUGCCAUUGAUACUAUCUGUCUUGAAUACCGUGGAGGUGAGCGGAAUAUGUCAUGUAGCGGUGAAAUGCUUAGAUAUGACAUAGAACACCAAUUGCGAAGGCAGCUCACUACGCGAAUAUUGACACUGAGGCACGAAAGCGUGGGGGUCAAACAGG